AAUGCCGCCUGCCAAACUUGCNAACUCUCCGCCCCUUGGCCACCACRACAUKCGGACGACUUCNNUCAYNCUUNNNNNUACUACUUUACUANAUUCAAAUCCCGUGUCCCCUGGAUCAAGGNNUUAUCACUGYCCUSAUCGAAUUCAUGCUUUGCAUGGUGCGGCGCGAGGCUCGAGUUUGUUGCAAAUGCAACUGGUGCGAAAGAGGUCCUGCACAGUUGCAGUUUUGGAAGAAAUUCGAGUCGUCUGCCCCUUAUCCAGGUGAGACAUGCUUUCGAUUGCGUGCGCAGCGCUGUACCAAGGAUCCGUCGUUUCGACGACGGCGAGCUGGGAGCGCCGCAACCACCCGUUGUGUCGCAAAGGUGAAAAAGACGGUGCUCUGAGAGAUUUGUUCGGCGCAGACGUGUGCACCCGCAGGACCCCUCGUCUCCCGAUAUAUCUCUUCUCGGACGCCGUCCACACUUUCGAUGCGCGGGGCGGGGACACAUCUCCUCUCAAUGCAUGCCCUCUUCGUUGAGGCACGUCCUCUCGAUUAGGGGGCUGCAGCGAGGGCGGGAUGUGUCAAAAUCAACACAUAGGUGCAAUGCGCCUUCGAAAUCCAAACACUGAGGCGGGAUGCGAGCGCCUUGCGUGUUCGCCUCGCCGGAAAGGCAAGAAAUUGCAAAUUAAAUACGACUCUCGGCAACGGAUAUCUCGGCUCUCGCCACGAUGAAGAAUGUAGCGAAAUGCGAUACUUAGUGUGAAUUGCAGAAUCCCGUGAAUCAUCGAGUCUUUGAACGCAAGUUGCGCCCGAGGCUUUGGCCGAGGGCACGUCUGCUUGGGCGUCGCACUCUAAAAUYGCCCUCCGGCUCGGAGGAGCGCAAAUGGCCAUCCGUGCCAAACAACGGUGCGGUCGGCUGAAAUGAGCACAAGAUCCGACAUCCCGUUGCGACGAGCGGUGGCCUUGACGGGUCGGCGUUGGUUUGCGCGGGUCUGUAAGUCGGGCGAGUGAGGAACUUUGAUUGGACCCCAGCAGCUCGCCGGUGCGCUGGCGUGUCUGUUGGGCCGCUACCGCGUCCCCAAGUCAGGCGUGAAUACCCGCUGAGUUUAG
rnacentral:rRNA from 1 species